CGCUUCUUUUUCCACCGGAAGCUUGCUCCACCCGGAAAAAGAGGAGUGGCGAACGGGUGAGUAACAUGUGGGUAACCUGCCCAUCAGAAGGGGAUAACACUUGGAAACAGGUGCUAAUACCGUAUAACAAUCAAAACCGCAUGGUUUUGAUUUGAAAGGCGCUUUCGGGUGUCGCUGAUGGAUGGACCCGCGGUGCAUUAGCUAGUUGGUGAGGUAACGGCUCACCAAGGCCACGAUGCAUAGCCGACCUGAGAGGGUGAUCGGCCACAUUGGGACUGAGACACGGCCCAAACUCCUACGGGAGGCAGCAGUAGGGAAUCUUCGGCAAUGGACGAAAGUCUGACCGAGCAACGCCGCGUGAGUGAAGAAGGUUUUCGGAUCGUAAAACUCUGUUGUUAGAGAAGAACAAGGAUGAGAGUAACUGUUCAUCCCUUGACGGUAUCUAACCAGAAAGCCACGGCUAACUACGUGCCAGCAGCCGCGGUAAUACGUAGGUGGCAAGCGUUGUCCGGAUUUAUUGGGCGUAAAGCGAGCGCAGGCGGUUUCUUAAGUCUGAUGUGAAAGCCCCCGGCUCAACCGGGGAGGGUCAUUGGAAACUGGGAGACUUGAGUGCAGAAGAGGAGAGUGGAAUUCCAUGUGUAGCGGUGAAAUGCGUAGAUAUAUGGAGGAACA
rnacentral:rRNA from 1 species